rnacentral:rRNA from 1 species
UACGGAGGGUGCGAGCGUUGUCCGGAAUUACUGGGCGUAAAGCGUGCGCAGGCUGCUUCUCAAGUCAGGGGUGAAAGCCCAGAGCUCAACUCUGGAAUUGCCUUUGAGACUGAGUGGCUUGAGUACGAGAGAGGUGAGUGGAAUUCCCAGUGUAGAGGUGAAAUUCGUAGAUAUUGGGAAGAACACCGGUGGCGAAGGCGGCUCACUGGCUCGUAACUGACGCUCAUGCACGACAGCGUGGGGAUCAAACAGG